CUGCAACUCGCCUGCAUGAAGUCGGAAUUGCUAGUAAUCGUAGGUCAGCAUACUACGGUGAAUACGUUCCCGGGCCUUGUACACACCGCCCGUCAAACCAUGAGAGUUGGCAACACCCGAAGUCGGUAGUCUAACCGCAAGGAGGACGCCGCCGAAGGUGGGGUUGAUGAUUAGGGUUAAGUCGUAACAAGGUAUC
rnacentral:rRNA from 1 species